rnacentral:rRNA from 1 species
CUACCUGGUUGAUCCUGCCAGUAGUCAUAUGCUUGUCUCAAAGAUUAAGCCAUGCAUGUGUAAGUAUAAACUCUUUUGUACAGUGAAACUGCGAA